UUAAAAUCUGGAAAAUCAGUUCAGAUAUAUUCAGAUCAAAAUAAAUAUGAAACCUUUUCUCUCUGAUUUGAAAAUUCCAACAUAAACCCAAAACAUCUUUCCUCUUUCUUCUUUGCGUUCUCUCCAAAAUUUCAGUGAGCAAUCGAAGCCUGGAGUGAAGGUCUUUGCUCUUCAGCUGUCGCAUAACACAGGCUUCACAAUUAUAUUUUCUUUGUCAAACGCCAUUCAAUACGGAGCCACCGCGUUCUGCCUUGGUUGCCUCCUACGUCACCCCUCCCGAUUUCUUUUACAAGAGGAAUCACGGUCCGAUACCCAUCGUUGAGGACAUAAACAGGUACCAAAGGAAUCAUUGCUUUUUGUUAUUCCUGCUUUUGGGGGCAUAGUUUCUUGGGAGGGAGAAGGGGCACCCUUUGGGGAAUCCGAUCAGAGCAUCACUGAUUAUUUUGCCAACUGAUAAUUAUUUGGUGGGAAGGUAAUUUCUUCUAAUCCAUAUUUG